CUCUCCAGCUCCCAUCCCUUCACUUUUAUCCCUGGCUGGCCUCGUGUAUCGUCUCUCAGAUGUACCACUGUGCUCAUUUCUGCACUUUCGCUUCAACAGGGGAGAGAAUCUUAUCUACCAAAAGAAAGAAAAUUAAGUCCAUGACCAAAGCACUCUACCCACCUCCAUUCCCAUGCCAGCCCACAUCUUCUGAGGACCAGUGCUGGGGCCCUUGACUCAAAGACACAGUUCUAGUGUUGGAAAAAAUGCGGUGUGCAGUGUGAUGGGUCUGCCACACUCUGCAGCCCAUGAAAGCUCCCUGGAGACCAGGACUGUGUUCAUCUAUCAAAAGUGCUUAAAUUACCCCAUGCAAACCGAGUGGUAAGCAUGCAGAGUGCAGGGGGUGUAGAUAACUCCCACCAAGAGCAGCACAAUCAGUCACACGCAGAGCAGAGAGAGAUGAGGUCAGAGAAGUUGGCAAAGAUAGGUCAUGAAGAGGAGUCCUCAGGCAGAAGUUGAAGCCAGUGGACAAGUGAUCCCACCUAGAGGGCAACAGGUCCCUGGAAGGCUGUGGAUUGUCCAAAAGACCUAAGAAUCUGUAAAUGGUUUCCUUUCCUCCUCCUCACCCCCUGCCCCGUGGAUACAGUGCAGAUUUUCUACAUCCAAAAAGGAUCUCGUCCAUGAACAUGAAGCCCAAAUGGCCAACACUUGCUUAAGUCUAUGUAGAGAUCCACCCGCUGUGCCACCUAAGUAUUGGGAUUAAAGGCUUGUGCCACGGAGCUGGCUCUGAAGCUGGUUCUUGGAGUCCUGGUCUUACCUGUCCCUCCUAAGCACUUGAAUACAGCUCUGGUACCUUGCUCUGUGUGGGGCACGCAUACCCAGUCCAGAGCGUCAGGAAGGAAAGCAGCCAUGAGUAUGUUGGGUUCAAAAGCUACAAGAACCCUGGAUAUGCAGCAGCGGUUUCUUACUCUGAAGAGAUGCCCAUCUGAAGGUCAAAAGAAUGUCUCAGGGCAGCUACCCAACCACGUUCCGCAAGGCCAGCAGCCAGGCUGAGGUGGGUUUGUAGGAGGUG